CACUCCUACGGGAGGCAGUAGUGGGGAAUAUUGGACAAUGGGCGCAAGCCUGAUCCAGCCAUGCCGCGUGAGUGAUGAAGGCCCUAGGGUUGUAAAGCUCUUUUGUGCGGGAAGAUAAUGACGGUACCGCAAGAAUAAGCCCCGGCUAACUUCGUGCCAGCAGCCGCGGUAAUACGAAGGGGGCUAGCGUUGCUCGGAAUCACUGGGCGUAAAGGGUGCGUAGGCGGGUCUUUAAGUCAGGGGUGAAAUCCUGGAGCUCAACUCCAGAACUGCCUUUGAUACUGAAGAUCUUGAGUUCGGGAGAGGUGAGUGGAACUGCGAGUGUAGAGGUGAAAUUCGUAGAUAUUCGCAAGAACACCAGUGGCGAAGGCGGCUCACUGGCCCGAUACUGACGCUGAGGCACGAAAGCGUGGGGAGCAAACAGGAUUAGAAACCCCGGUAGUCCCAUG
rnacentral:rRNA from 1 species